rnacentral:rRNA from 1 species
CUGCGAAACAGUAGCGCAAGCGGCUGUGGAGUGUAUAGAAGUGAGAAUGCCGGAAUGAGUAGCGCGAAUGCAGUGAGAAUCUGCAUGGCCGAAAGCCUCAGGUUGGAGGAAGGUUCGUCCGCUCCAAGUUAGUCGGGAGCUAAGGUGAGGCCGAGAGGCGUAGCCGAUGCACAGACGGUAGAGAUUCCGUCACCACCAAAAGAGUUAAGCACAGGGACACAUAUGAAGUCUCAGAGCCGGGUGUUGGUUCCGGUAGAGAUCGAGGGAAGUUAGUACCGAAGUCUGGGAUGGAAGAUGGCGAGAAAAGCUGUGUGGAUUUCUGAGGUGCCCGUACUGCAAACCGACACAGGUAGGUAGGAAGAAGAUUCUAAGGCCAACGGGAGAAGGGUUGUUAAGGAACUCGGCAAAUUGACCCCGUAACUUCGGGAGAAGGGGUGCUCCAGAGAUGGAGCCGCAGAGAAUCGGCCCAAGCAACUGUUUACCAAAAACACAGGUUUGUGCUAAAUCGAAAGAUGACGUAUACGAGCUGACGCCUGCCCGGUGCUGGAAGGUUAAGAGGAGAUGUGCAAGCAUUGAAUCGAAGCCCCAGUGAACGGCGGCCGUAACUAUAACGGUCCUAAGGUAGCGAAAUUCCUUGUCAGGUAAGUUCUGACCCGCAUGAAAGGCGUAAUGAUUUGGGCACUGUCUCAACAGCCCGCCCGGCGAAAUUGUAGUACCGGUGAAGAUGCCGGUUACCCGCGGCAAGACGGAAAGACCCCAUGGAGCUUUACUGUAGCCUAAUAUUGGGUUUCGAUGUUGCAUGCACAGGAUAGAUGGGACUCUGGGAAACCAGUGCUUUGGCGCUGGCGGAGAGGCCGUUGGGAUACCAUCCUUGCGAUAUUGGAAUUCUAACCUGCGGCUCUGAAUCGAGUCGGGGGACAUUGUUAGGUGGGCAGUUUGACUGGGGCGGUCGCCUCCUAAAAAGUAACGGAGGCGUUCAAAGGUUCGCUCAGCUUGAACAGAAAUCAAGCAAAAGAGUGCAAACGCAGAAGCGAGCCUAACUGCGAGACUGACGGGUCGAGCAGUAACGAAAGUUGGAGUUAGUGAUCCGGUGGUAUGUGAGUGGAAAUGCCAUCGAUCAACGGAUAAAAGUUACCCUGGGGAUAACAGGCUGAUCUCCCCCAAGAGUCCACAUCGACGGGGAGGUUUGGCACCUCGAUGUCGGCUCAUCGCAUCCUGGGGCUGUAUUCGGUCCCAAGGGUUUGGCUGUUCGCCAAUUAAAGCGGUACGCGAGCUGGGUUCAGAACGUCGUGAGACAGUUCGGUCCCUAUCUGUCGUGGGCGCAGGAUAUUUGAUGGGAGCUGUCCCUGGUACGAGAGGACCGGGACGGACGUACCUCUGGCGCACCAGUUGUUCUGCCAAGAGCAUAGCUGGGCAACUACGUACGGAUCGGAUAAACGCUGAAAGCAUCUAAGCGUGAAGCCGACCCAAAGAUAAGAUAUCCCACUGUUUUAAACAGGUAAGAUCCCUUGAAGACUACAAGGUUGAUAGGCACGAUGUGUAAGUGGAGUGAUCCGUUCAGCAAGCGUGUACUAAUAGAUCGAGGGCUUGACC